GAAGUGUGCUAUCUCCCUUGACAGCCCCUCUAGUAAACCUCUCCGGAGCUGCAAGAGAGGAGUAGUUGCUAUGACAACCAGCACUAAACACUCUCUAUCAAACACCUUGUUCUAUAUUGCGUUUGGGGGACUGCCCUGCGUGGACGAUACCAAUCUGGUGUACGGGGAAAUCAUCGAGGGGUUUGAUGUGUUAGACGCGAUUGAAGCAGCAGGAAGCGUAACUGGGAAACCGAAAACAAGCGUCAGAAUAAUCGAAUGUGGCAGGUAUAACGAGCGGAAACAUGGCAUGAUCCUCAGUAAGUUACAGGUGCAGAACCUAAAGAGUGCCGCAGGAAACCUCAAGCUUGACUCAUUAACUUGAAGUUGUCUUGGGCAGCAGGAUUUAGGCAGUUAGAAUAAAGAUAUCAGAGAUACUGUACUAUAGAGUAUAGACUAUACUGUCUUGACAGGGGACUCACGAGUUGCGAUCAGUUUUGAAGGGAUUUUACUUCGACGAACUUAAUUUAAAUUGUAAAUUUUAAGUGAUAUAAAUAAGUUGAUAGACUAGAGUGCUGGUUGAAGGUGACGCGCAUGUAACAGCAAUUAACCAUUGAGCGUACGACCAGCAGAGGCUUACAAGUAAAUUAGUAAAUCUUGGCCACGUGCCAAAACAAAUUCCUUUUUUAACAGAAGUCAAAUAAUCUGUUACUCUCAUUAAUCAUUAUGAAUGCUUAAAAACGUGUACGUAUAUGUUAUUUGAAUCAUU